ACUCUGAGACAGGUGCUGCAUGGCUGUCGUCAGCUCGUGUUGUGAAAUGUUGGGUUAAGUCCCGCAACGAGCGCAACCCUUAUCCUUGUUUGCCAGCGAGUAAUGUCGGGAACUCCAGGGAGACUGCCGGUGAUAAACCGGAGGAAGGUGGGGACGACGUCAAGUCAUCAUGGCCCUUACGAGUAGGGCUACACACGUGCUACAAUGGCGCAUACAGAGGGCAGCCAACUUGCGA
rnacentral:rRNA from 1 species